ACGCUAGCUACAGGCUUAACACAUGCAAGUCGAGGGGCAGCAUUUUAGUUUGCUUGCAAACUGAAGAUGGCGACCGGCGCACGGGUGAGUAACACGUAUCCAACCUGCCGAUAACUCCGGAAUAGCCUUUCGAAAGAAAGAUUAAUACCGGAUAGCAUACGAAUAUCGCAUGAUAUUUCUAUUAAAGAAUUUCGGUUAUCGAUGGGGAUGCGUUCCAUUAGUUUGUUGGCGGGGUAACGGCCCACCAAGACUACGAUGGAUAGGGGUUCUGAGAGGAAGGUCCCCCACAUUGGAACUGAGACACGGUCCAAACUCCUACGGGAGGCAGCAGUGAGGAAUAUUGGUCAAUGGGCGAGAGCCUGAACCAGCCAAGUAGCGUGAAGGAUGAAGGCUCUAUGGGUCGUAAACUUCUUUUAUAUGGGAAUAAAGUUUUCCACGUGUGGAAUUUUGUAUGUACCAUAUGAAUAAGGAUCGGCUAACUCCGUGCCAGCAGCCGCGGUAAUACGGAGGAUCCGAGCGUUAUCCGGAUUUAUUGGGUUUAAAGGGAGCGUAGGUGGAUUGUUAAGUCAGUUGUGAAAGUUUGCGGCUCAACCGUAAAAUUGCAGUCGAAACUGGCAGUCUUGAGUACAGUAGAGGUGGGCGGAAUUCGUGGUGUAGCGGUGAAAUGCUUAGAUAUCACGAAGAACUCCGAUUG
rnacentral:rRNA from 1 species